GAUGAACGCUGGCGGCGUGCCUAACACACGCAAGUCGAACGAAGCACCUUUUAAGAUUCUUCGGAUGAUUGAUUGGUGACUGAGUGGCGGACGGGUGAGUAACGCGUGGGUAACCUGCCCUGUACAGGGGGAUAACAGUUGGAAACGGCUGCUAAUACCGCAUAAGCGCACGAGAGGACAUCCUCUUGUGUGAAAAACUCCGGUGGUACAGGAUGGGCCCGCGUCUGAUUAGCUGGUUGGCAGGGUAACGGCCUACCAAGGCGACGAUCAGUAGCCGGUCUGAGAGGAUGAACGGCCACAGUGGAACUGAGACACGGUCCAAACUCCUACGGGAGGCAGCAGUGGGGAAUAUUGCACAAUGGGGGAAACCCUGAUGCAGCAACGCCGCGUGAGUGAAGAAGUAUUUCGGUAUGUAAAGCUCUAUCAGCAGGGAAGAUAAUGACGGUACCUGACUAAGAAGCUCCGGCUAAAUACGUGCCAUCAGCCGCAGUAA
rnacentral:rRNA from 1 species